GGUAGGAUGGCUGAGUGUCUAAGCGGUGGUUUGUAGCCCCACGCACAGAGGUUUAAUUCCUUUUCUUGCCA
rnacentral:tRNA from 1 species